rnacentral:piRNA from 1 species
UGGACAAAUCUCUAUUACCAUAUUGUCUAC